GAUGAACGCUGGCGGCGUGCCUAAUACAUGCAAGUCGAGCGAACGGACGAGAAGCUUGCUUCUCUGAUGUUAGCGGCGGACGGGUGAGUAACACGUGGAUAACCUACCUAUAAGACUGGGAUAACUUCGGGAAACCGGAGCUAAUACCGGAUGAUAUUUUGAACCGCAUGGUUCAAUAGUGAAAGACGGUCUUGCUGUCACUUAUAGAUGGAUCCGCGCUGCAUUGGCUAGUUGGUAAGGUAACGGCCUACGAAGGCAACGAUGCAUGGACGACGUGAUAGGGUGGUAGGCCACAUUGGAACUGAACCACGGUCAAGACGCCUGCGGGAGGCAGCAGUCUGGAACCUUCGGCAAUGGGGGAAAGCCUGACGGAGCAACGCCGAGUGAGAGAUGAAGAUGCUCGGAUCGUAAUAAUGUGUUAUUAGGGAAGAACAUAUGUGUAAGUAAAUGUGCACAUCUUGACGGUACCUAAUAAGAAAGCAACGGCUAACUACGUG
rnacentral:rRNA from 1 species